ACCCGGAGAGGACUAGGGAGACAGUGGCCCCAGAAGUAGUUUAAAAUUUUUUUAUUAUUUUGAAAAGGGAUUACAUUCACGUGUUUCAAAAUCCAAACAAGAUAACAUGGCAUAGAGUAAGAAACCUUUCCCCUUCCUACCCUGUAAUCCUGCUUUUCGUUUCCUGUGUGUCCUUUCAGAGCUCCUUUUGCUUUCAAAAGCAAAUACAAAUAGGGGCAGCUCCUGAAUGGAUGGCCAAGUGACUCUGGAGCUUCCGUGCUGUGUGAGGACUGGGCUUUCUGUCCCUGUUCACCCUCAGGCUGCAGCCACCGCACGGACAGCCUCAGAGGAGGAAUCUUGAGGAUCUGUGGGUGGAUAUGGCACCACUGGCUGCAAACCACAUUGAUCUGAGGGGAGCUUGGGGCUUGCCUGGGACGUCCACGAUGGACACCCUCCAAGGUCACAGCCAGGUGCAGGGAGGAGAUGGUUCAGAUCGCACCUCUACCCUGACUCAGCACACACAGCUGUACCGUCAGGGGCUGCAAACCAACAUCUCUCAAGACCUUCCUGGAAGCUGCAGCUGGACUCCCUUUGUACUCCAGAGGAGCAUCCCGGGGGGCCCAGGUCGGAGCUCCUGGAUGGUCUCUGGGCUCUGGGGGACAGAAGAACAGGCGAGCUGGAAGCUGUUUUGGGGAGCAGGAGGUAUGAGGGCAGUUGGAGGGUGGCACAAGGAUAAGUCUCUUGUUUCUCUCUUUUCACCAAUGGCACUUGGCAGGGAGGAAGAAUCUAAAUGUGGCUCGCUGGGCUCUGUGGAUCUGGCACUGGAACAGCUGUCCAGGCUUUGGGGCCCCCGAUACCCCUACCGCUCUCCCUCAGGCCCCGGAUCUGUUUGGGCCCCCAGUGGGCGACCGCUCUGUGCUGGUCCACCACAGGGAAAUAUUCUGGUGGUGGCAAGCUCUGCCCUGUUCUCAGAGAGCUCUGGCCGGGCCUGGUGGACAAAUCCCAGGCCAAGCCAUAGGAUUUGGACUCUGGGGCUAUAGAAAUUCCAGAAAGAGGACUAAAGAAGCAGCCCUGAGUAUCAGUCAGUGAAUGUGACCUGAUGUUGGCAGAUGGCUUUAGCACAGGCUUCCUGGACGGGGAGGAGGGAGACUGCACUGAACGGGUUUCUGAAGCUUGUGCCCUGACGCCAAGCAUUCCACCACAUCACUUAUAGAGUGUGCGGCUAUGAACAAGGGAUUUUGCUGCUCUGCUCCACAGUCUCCUUGUCUAUGAAAUGGGAGUAAUAGUAGAUUCGAAUCCAGAGGGUUGUUGGGAGGAUUCCAAACGUUUGUCGUGGUGCCUGGUGCAAAGCAAUUGCUCAACCAAGAUGAGCCACUAGGUUGCUAUUUCCAUCGCUGUGAUUAGAGGAUGGAACGAAUAGGAAACGGUGGAGAAAGGAGGGGCAGGCGGCCCAGGUGGCUGCCGAAGUGGGACUAACAGCACCAAGGCUGGUCCUCCACCUCUCCCAGCACAAGGCGGGAAGCACAGGCUUCGAAGUUGCUGAAUUAUCUAGGGCCCUGCCCCAGCACCCAUACUCUGGGGACCAAAUUUUGCCAGCUUUUUGCCCCAGGUUCUCUAAUGACUGAUGCCAUCGGUUCUAGGUACAGUGAAUGGAUUGGGAAAAAUGUCUGGGGCCCAGGGUGGAGUAGGAAGUAAGGGCAUGUUUGCCUAUUGUGACCGUGCAGAAGACCACCUCUUCCAGGAGCUGAUGGGUGGGUGCCUCAGGCUGAGUCAGUCCACAGAGCCUCAGGAGGCAGGACAGGUCCUUUCCAGCUUUGGGCCUCUCUUCCCUCAUCUGUGCAAUGGGAAGGUGUGGCUGGACCCGG
rnacentral:lncRNA from 10 species